UGUGAACAAAGGCAAAGCCGUCGAAAGACGGCGACGCAAAGUCACCGGCCUAAAGGGCUAGAAGACCCAAAGGUAGCGGGACUGCUCGA
rnacentral:ncRNA from 1 species